rnacentral:rRNA from 1 species
UAGGGAAUCUUCCGCAAUGGGCGAAAGCCUGACGGAGCAACGCCGCGUGAGUGAUGAAGGUCUUCGGAUCGUAAAACUCUGUUAUUAGGGAAGAACAAAUGUGUAAGUAACUAUGCACGUCUUGACGGUACCUAAUCAGAAAGCCACGGCUAACUACGUGCCAGCAGCCGCGGUAAUACGUAGGUGGCAAGCGUUAUCCGGAAUUAUUGGGCGUAAAGCGCGCGUAGGCGGUUUUUUAAGUCUGAUGUGAAAGCCCACGGCUCAACCGUGGAGGGUCAUUGGAAACUGGAAAACUUGAGUGCAGAAGAGGAAAGUGGAAUUCCAUGUGUAGCGGUGAAAUGCGCAGAGAUAUGGAGGAACACCAGUGGCGAAGGCGACUUUCUGGUCUGUAACUGACGCUGAUGUGCGAAAGCGUGGGGAUCAAACAGGAUUAGAUACCCUGGUAGUCCACGCCGUAAACGAUGGGUGCUAAGUGUUAGGGGGUUUCCGCCCCUUAGUGCUGCAGCUAACGCAUUAAGCACUCCGCCUGGGGAGUACGACCGCAAGGUUG